rnacentral:rRNA from 1 species
AUUGAACGCUGGCGGCAGGCUUAACACAUGCAAGUCGAGCGGGGUGAUGGUGCUUGCACUAUCACUUAGCGGCGGACGGGUGAGUAAUGCUUAGGAAUCUGCCUAUUAGUGGGGGACAACAUCUCGAAAGGGAUGCUAAUACCGCAUACGUCCUACGGGAGAAAGCAGGGGAUCACUUGUGACCUUGCGCUAAUAGAUGAGCCUAAGUCGGAUUAGCUAGUUGGUGGGGUAAAGGCCUACCAAGGUGACGAUCUGUAGCGGGUCGGAGAGGAUGAUCCGCCACACUGGGACUGAGACACGGCCCAGACUCCUACGGGAGGCAGCAGUGGGGAAUAUUGGACAAUGGGGGGAACCCUGAUCCAGCCAUGCCGCGUGUGUGAAGAAGGCCUUAUGGUUGUAAAGCACUUUAAGCGAGGAGGAGGCCCUUUUGGUUAAUACCCAAGAUGAGUGGACGUUACUCGCAGAAUAAGCACCGGCUAACUCUGUGCCAGCCGCCGCGGUAA